rnacentral:tRNA from 1 species
UGUCUCAGUUGGUAGAGCAUGGUGUUUGCAACGCCAGGGUUGUGGGUUCGUUUCCCAC